rnacentral:tRNA from 1 species
AAGAAAGUAUGCAAGAACUGCUAAUUCAUGCACCCAUACCUAAACAUUAUGGCUUUCUUAC